rnacentral:rRNA from 1 species
AACGGAAACGGUGUUAGCUUGCUAACAGGCGUCGAGUGGCGGACGGGUGAGUAACGCGUAGAUAAUCUACCCCAUAGCCUGGGAUAACUUUUCGAAAGAAGGGCUAAUACCGGAUAAUAUCGAGAGUCGAAAUGUCUUUUGAUUAAAAGAUUUAUCACUAUGGGAUGAGUCUGCGUACCAUUAGCUAGUAGGUAGGGUAAUGGCCUACCUAGGCGACGAUGGUUAGCGGGUCUGAGAGGAUGAUCCGCCACACUGGAACUGAGACACGGUCCAGACUCC